GAUCGAUUGAUUUUACAGGGCUAACUAUUUUUUGCCUUUUUAUAUCUUUAAGAGUACCAAUUCAUGCCAGUAACUUGAUUAUAAGGUUGUCGAAAGACGACCCCAUCAUUAAGAGAUCCCAAUACUUCUUCUUGUUGUUGUUGUUGUUGUUGAAUCGAAGGAUUUUGAGGAAACUGGCUCAGGAAAUUGGCAAUGGAGCUACUUUGUUCAUGAUUUGUAAUUCGCGAAAUAUUAUUCAUGUUAAGUCCAUCGUCCUCGUUGUUCUCAACAAGGAACCUUUUUGUAUUUGGAGAAUGGUUCCUAUCAAUAGUUGUUGUUGUUGUUGUUGCUUCGUCGUUAUUCCAAUACAAACCUCCAUGCAUCGUUCUCUUUGACGAUAUUUGUGGAAUGGAUCUAUUAUUAUUGUUGAUAAUAUCGUUCGUGUUAUUCAUAAUUCCAUCGUACAUAUUCGAUUCAUUUUCGAGCAAUAUUGUACCAUAGUUUGAAGGCUUUAUUCCUUGUAAUAUUGAAUUUGGUACAUUUUGUGGUAUCGAUCCCAACAUAUCAUGCAAAUCAUCUAUGGACCUUUGUGUGUUAUUCUUCUUGUAAAUUCGACAUAAAACCCAAUCA
rnacentral:misc_RNA from 1 species